CCUACGUGAGGCAGCAGUGAGGAAUAUUGGUCAAUGGGCGCGAGCCUGAACCAGCCAAGUAGCGUGAAGGAUGACUGCCCUACGGGUUGUAAACUUCUUUUAUAAAGGAAUAAAGUGAGGCACGUGUGCCUUUUUGUAUGUACUUUAUGAAUAAGGAUCGGCUAACUCCGUGCCAGCAGCCGCGGUAAUACGGAGGAUCCGAGCGUUAUCCGGAUUUAUUGGGUUUAAAGGGAGCGUAGAUGGGUUGUUAAGUCAGUUGUGAAAGUUUGCGGCUCAACCGUAAAAUUGCAAUUGAUACUGGCAGUCUUGAGUACAGUUGAGGUAGGCGUAAUUCGUGGUGUAGCGGUGAAAUGCUUAGAGAUCACGAAGAACUCCGAUUGCGAAGGCAGCUUACUAAACUGCCACUGACAUUGAUGCUCGAAAGUGUGGGUAUCAAACAGGAUUAGAUACCCCAGUAGUC
rnacentral:rRNA from 1 species